GAAUUUCGAGGAAGCGCUCUCCUCCUCCCUGCGCAGCCUCGAUCUAGCUGGAUUGGCUUCUCCUCCUCCCAAGCCUCCAGCCCUUAAAAAUGACGCCCACCGGAUCUCCUCCCCCGGUGGGCGUUAUUU
rnacentral:sRNA from 1 species